GCUCAGAUUGAACGCUGGCGGCAGGCCUAACACAUGCAAGUCGAACGGUAACAGGAAGCAGCUUGCUGCUUCGCUGACGAGUGGCGGACGGGUGAGUAAUGUCUGGGAAACUGCCUGAUGGAGGGGGAUAACUACUGGAAACGGUGGCUAAUACCGCAUAACGUCGCAAGACCAAAGAGGGGGACCUUCGGGCCUCUUGCCAUCAGAUGUGCCCAGAUGGGAUUAGCUWGUUGGUGAGGUAACGGCUCACCAAGGCGACGAUCCCUAGCUGGUCUGAGAGGAUGACCAGCCACACUGGAACUGAGACACGGUCCAGACUCCUACGGGAGGCAGCAGUGGGGAAUAUUGCACAAUGGGCGCAAGCCUGAUGCAGCCAUGCCGCGUGUAUGAAGAAGGCCUUCGGGUUGUAAAGUACUUUCAGCGGGGAGGAAGGUGUUGUGGUUAAUAACCRCAGCA
rnacentral:rRNA from 1 species